rnacentral:lncRNA from 1 species
GCUGCCCCAUUUACCUAAGAGAUCUAAGAGAUGGGAGAGUCGAAACGUAUGGCUCUAAUAUAGGUAAAAUCCAUUAACUAACUCUUUUAAGCUUCUAUUCUAGAUUCUUAAUACAUAAUGUGAUAAGAUUACAAUUGAUGUUUUGUAAGAUCGAAGAAACGAAAGGAAGCUUAAAGGAAGAAGUGAGCAGAAUCUAACCGUGAAGGAAUGGAUUUCGAUCGCAUUUCUCGAAGAUUAGAUUCUUGAGCUACUACUUAGAGUUAGAAUUAGAUUGCUAAGAAAGAUGUAUUAGCAUAGUUUUUCAAUGAAUUGCAUUGUAAGGACAAAAUUUUUCCGCAAUAAAAUAAAUUUUGAUUUUAUAUUAUUUAUUUAUCCUUGCAAUGGCGUAUAUGAAAAAUUGAUGUUUGAAUGUUUCUAUUAUUAGCAAUAAUGGAUUUGGUUCUUAUUUAUAUUAUUUAUGGAAAGUCGAGAAUUUACCAAAUAGGGAGAGUUUCUCAUCGCCCAAGUUUCAAUUGGACAGAAAUUUGGAAUCACGCAACUUGGUUGCAUGAUGAAUAAUAAAUUUCAUAUUUGGAAAUUAGACUAAUUCGUUGACAAAGUGUCAAGUGAAGGACUAGGAGAUCGAGCAAACAAAGUUGCGUGUCGAUCAAGUUCACCAUAAGAGUAACAAGAUAUUCAUCAUGGUUCACUAAAAUUUUUUGUAAAUAUGAUUACACUUAUAAGAAUAAGUGUAAUUCGGAAUUGAUUAAAAAGGUUUAAAUCAAUAGUAGAACGAAUAAGAAGAAUCAAGUAGGCAGAAAGAUAAAAGUUUCUCCAUUCUAAGAAGGGAGAGUACCUUUUAUGCUUUAUGAUGGGUCUUAAUGAUUAAGAACCAUAUCUCAAUUGAUCCUCCAAGUAAAUCUUAGCACAAUUGUAUGUUUAAGAAGAGGAAUCAAUGAUUGAAGAAAGUGUAAAAUCAAGAAGUCUAUCAUACUUCGUUCCAAUGACAAGUCUUAAANNNNNNNNNNNNNNNNNNNNNNNNNNNNNNNNNNNNNNNNNNNNNNNNNNNNNNNNNNNNNNNNNNNNNNNNNNNNNNNNNNNNNNNNNNNNNNNNNNNNUGGAUGGACCAUAUCGAUAUUAUUAUGAAUAUAUAAGAUUCUAUUGAGAAUGAGUCGUCAUAUGGUAAGUAUGGAAAGUUUUCCAUAUUGGGAGUUGAAUAUUGAGAAUCAAUGUCUAGAUUAGAAACUUUUAUGCAAAAGGAUGUUCAAAGGAAUGUACUUUGAGUGAGAGACAUCUCAUCUAUGGAAUUGUCUUGUAACAAUCUCCGAUAGAGGACUUUGUAAUUUCAUUGGCAAUAGUCAUUGUGACUUUAGUGCAGUGACAUUACGAAAGGAUCAUUGCAUAAAAUGUUAGAAUCUAACAUAUUCCAUAAGUGGCAAGAAUUUGAUAUUCUUUCACUUAUGAAAAGGGAUUAGGAGUUGUGAAAUGAGUAUGAUUGGAAAUGUGUUCAUUUGAUCUAUUUCACAAAGUAAGAACCAUAGGUAAACAUUGUGUGCAUGCUAAGAGCAUGGGACAAGUGUAAUAAUUCAAGUAAGAAGUUGAUUACCCGAAACAACAAAUAAUGAGUAAUCGAUAUGGUGAUAAAUAAAAGGUGUUUUAUUUAUACUCAAAGGUUUGAGGCCAUAUGGGAUUAGUAUUAUUCUUGUGUUUCACUUUGCAUGUUUUGACUUCCUGAAUAAUUUAAUUGGUUAAGAACAGUCAAAUUAUUCGAACGGGCCACAGUCGUUCAUAUGUUGGAAGUAGGUAUGAAUGAAGACUGUCGUGAAUUGGUGUGUGGAUUGUCUAAAGAGUAUUAGACAUAAGCAAAUGUUUGCUGCAACGUUCAUGAGUGCUUAUGAAUAUGAUUUGAGCAUUGGAUUAAACCCACGCUCACUUGGAUCACUUCAUGGAUUGUAUCACGAGUGAUUGGUGAGACGAUAACAUCUUAUAUUCUUGAAACCGAGAUGUGUGAGUUGUAUCUUGCAAAUCGGUUGCACAUUGAUAAUAUGUAAACGCACUAGUAACUUGGUGUUAUAAAACAUAUUGUUGUGUGUGAUUCGGUGAGUGAGUGCAAGCGAGCAUUGUAUCAAAGUUUAUCCGUUCCUUUUAUCCAAAGUAGGAUAAAAGCGAUAUCUUUGGGCCCCUCGAUGAUUUAGUGAUGACAAACGUAAAUGCUCGGCCGGGCUAGGGCUAAUUUGAUUUGUUCAAUUAGUCAGUCGUCAUAAAUCGGAAGUCGAGAAAUAGUACAAAGAGAAUGAUUAGAAAUCAUGUCUCAUACGAUAUCUAGAAUGGAGGAAUAUAUGAUCCCUUAUCUAAAGGACACGCGUAUCUGAUAGGAUCAGAGUUGACAGCGGCUUUGGAAAGCUACGAUUGCAGAUCAGGAUCUGAAGUCAUACGCAGAAUAGUUAUUAGACUUAUCCAAGUGGGAGACUGUUGGAUUAGUGUCUAAGUCCAUAACUAUUUUGGUAUGUACUUGACCCGAUGGUGCAUGGUCCUUUUGGGUUGCCUUCACCAAAGCAACUUGAUAGGAUGAAUUAUGGAGAGAAAGGAUUAAAUAUGAUUUAUUAAUAUAUUAUGAGAAUAAUAUAUUAAAGGAGAAAUCAUAUUGUUUAAUUAAUAUUAGUCAAGAAUUAAUAAGAAUUAAGUUUGUGACUAAAAGAGAUUAAUUAAACUUAAGGGACUGGAAUUGUAAUUAUAAGAUAAUUGCAAUUGGGCCAUGGAUUGCCUUAUAUUAUAAGGAUGGACGAAUUCUAUGGGGAAACCCAUUAGAAAUCGUCCAAGGCCUUUAAGGAAAGGAGUCCAUGGGUUGCUUAGGGCUUAAGCAUCCAAAUUAGGGUUUCCUUGUUAGAUAACCCUAAUAGCCUCACUAUUUAAAGAGCCCUUAUGCCCCAAAAACGUGGACAACCUUCCUUCUACGGUUUCCACAUGUUUUGGGCAGCCUCCUUCCCUUCUCCUCUUCAUCCUCUUGCUCUUGGUGAUUGUGAACCAUUAGAGGAGUGACAUUUGUGACUCUAAGCUUUCUAAAGUCAAUACAGGAAGGAUUUGAGAUUGUUAUUGCUACAUAACAAUCAAGGUAUGAUCUAAACCCUAAUUUAUAUGUUUUAUUGAUUAUCAUAUGCUAGAUCUAGGGUUUAUAGUCUUGGAUAACUUGCAUGUACAAUAAAGAAACCUAGAUCCAAGCAUUAGGGUUUGUAUGAGCACAUAGGAUGUUCUUAUGACUAAAACUCAUCAGAUACCGCCGCCUCUAUCCAAUCGCGUAUAUUAGUCUCACUUGGUCCUGAGCCUUUUGAUCCAUAUCCAGAACUGCUUGCUCUAGUAAUCAUCACCAUGCAGGAAAUAUAAAUGAGACUAGAUCAAUAUGAAUUUAUUGAGUUAUCUUGAAAUAACAUUCAAUCCUUUCUAGUUCCUUAGUAACUUUGCGACUUUUCUUGAUUCUGGUAUGGAACAUGUGCUUCCGGUAGUACGAACCCAUACUACCUUCCACACUAAUCCAUACUAGAUCCAAAAAUUGACCCGAUGUUCUAAGUCACUAAACUCUGCUAUUAAUAGGUCUUUUCACACACAUAGUGUUAUAAGGAGCUAAUUAUAUCUUUCCUACACUUUACUAGGAUUUUGUGUCACUACUGACACUUUACCUUAUGAAUAUAUACUCUAUCAAACAUAUAUUAAAAUUCCUAGGCUCUCUUUCUGGGAUUCCUUUCACUCCUCUCUACUAUUGGUUUAGGAAGAACUUCUACCAAUAUUAACUAAUUAUUUGACGAGUACAAUUGCAUGCUGCUAAAAUCAAACAGCCUGUUGACUGAAAGAUCUGACACCACGACGGUUAGACUCAGACGAGAGUUGUGUAAUAACGCCAAAUCAAGAAAUCUAAAACUAUUUAAAUUUCGAAGUAUGCAACCUAAUGUAUUUGUCGAAUAACUAAUUAAUAUUAAUAUAGGUUCUAGCCAGCAAAUAAAAAGCAAACCCCUAGGCUAUAAGACAUCUUUAAGUAUCCGACAAUUCUAUCAUGCAAUUCCUGAAAAGAUUCAUAGACUACAUACUAGCAUGCUUUUAUAACAUUUCACAUAUCGGUAAUCAUAACAAUAUGGAUAUUUUAGGAAUCACUUUCCUUUCUCAGCUUUGGCUGACUGUAUGCAUCACAUUCUUUUCUUUUUGUAGUAUUUUUUUUAUGAAAAGAUUUAUUAAUUACUCAUAUCCUUAGUUUGAGUCUGGAAUCACACGAUUCUUCAUCCAAUUAUUUCAAACCAGGGAUCUGAUACCAAAUUGUAACGUCCUGAUUUUCAACCCAAAUUUUCAUUUUUGUUUAUUCAAAUAUAUCAUAGUGUAAUUACAUUAUGCGGAAAGAUGUUGCGAAUGUGCUUGUGCAUAGUCGAACCUUGUCUUUCUUACUCAUUAAUGAAGCACCUGAAAAAUAUUUAUAAUCAAAUGUGUAAGCACGAAUCUUAGUGAGUUCCCCAAAAUAUAAUAUACCAUUAUACAUAUACCGGACCCACCCAAUAAGCAUAUAAAUGGGCCCCACCCAAACUACAUAAUUGGACCUGCCCAAUAUACAUAACAAGCCCCGCCUAAUAUACAUGACGGGCCCCGUCCGACAUACAUAACUAUAGUACUCAUAUAGAGACUCCACUUUUUGUUGAAAUAUAUUAUUCUCUAAUAGUCAAACUUAAACAUUAAUUUAUAAAAGGGUAAGUUUUGUAUAAGUUAUAUUUCAAUUCGGUGUGUUGUGUAAGUUACUAUGCAGGGAAGGAGUCUUCGGAUUAACAGGUGGAUCUUGGGUGGAUCUGGGUUUGCUCCAUGGAGCUGCUUGACACGAUAUACUUAAUGUGUUGUUGUUCUCAUUUGAUCAGAUUAUCCACUUGUUCUUGUAAUUUGUAUACAAUUCUCUCUCGUAUUAAGGUUUUCUCAGUGUAGGGUUAGAUAGAUUUGAAGAUUCUUCUUCUAUGAUGUUGAUCUUGAGGUUUAUAUAUAACCAUCUGAGAGUGAGUGUGAAUGUAGAGAGGUUUCAGUUGUAAGCUGAUGUAUGAUCGAACUGGUUUAUAGUGAAUAAUCUUUUCAAGUUGGGAAUCGUUGGUGUUUUUCACUUUCUAUACAUGGUAUCAAAGCUUCAGGCUCCGUUGUCUUCUUCGUUGAUUUUCAUCGAAGGGUUUCGUCUCCGAACAACGUCAUAAAAGGUUGUUUCUAACUCCUUUCUUUUUUGUUGUUUCUUUAUAGUUUAUGUGAGAUCUAGAGGUUUAUUUUUGAAAUCUCUGGAUCAUUUACUUAAACUGUUUUGUUUCUAGUUGAUCGUUUCGAUUUAGGGUUUUCACCUUGUGUUUUUCACAUCAGAACUGAUAUUUGUUCUUAAGAUCUUGGUACCAUGAGUCUCUUUGUGAUUUCUUGCAGGACUGAUUAAUCUAGUGCUUGUGUUGAUCACUUGCUACUUGAACGUCUGUUGAACUAUAGUCGACUGAACUUUAGUCAAUUAAUCUGUUUGUCUGAGAUAACUCUCUAGGGGUCAGAUUUUAUCACCGAUAAACCCUAAGUAGAGAACAGACAAAUAUAUUUGAUCCUUCGUUGCUUCGUCUUAAUAGCACUUUGAGGGGUUUCUUUUUCCUUUUUUAUCUCUUUUAUCUUGUGAUUGGGAGAUCAUGGAUGUCUUGUGUACACCAGUUAUUGUUGUUUGUCUCUAUUCUUGUUGAUAUUCCCCCGAUUCCACAUCAACCAAGGCAUCCAAUUGUUCAUCAAGAUCUUCCACAACAACUCUAAUAUCAUUAUCAUCAUUAGUUAAGAAUUAAGUACUUAACAACAUAACAACAUGAUCAAACCUAUAAUAAUUAACAACUUAACAUUUAAGUACUUAACAUUUAACAAAACAACAUGGCCAGUUAAGACUUAAAAUCACGAGUCUAUGAUUUAACACUAACAAUUAAGUACUUGACAUAAUAGUAGGUUCAGUUAUGUUAAGACAAUAAGAUUUAAGAUCAUGACUCAGCACAAACAACAAGUAAGAUUACUUAAACGAUAUCCUACCUGGAAAUUCACCUAGAAAUAUCAGUAAAUAUCACCGAUUUUUGCGGUUCCAAUAUUUUGGAGAGAUAUUUAACACCGCUAUUUUGAAAGGUAUUGAUAACCGAUAUCCAAUGUGGAAAUCACCUGGAAAUCGCCGAUAUUAACUUCUUAGCAUACAACACAACAUAAAAUAAACAUAUAUUAGUUAUCAGCAACCUUAUGGAUUAUCAAGAAUCCCAAUGGGCUAACAACACACCUGAUGGGUUAUUAGAAACCCUCAAGAUUAUCAACAGUCACAGUGGGCUAACAGCAUGCCCUGUGGGUUAAAAACAACCCUGGAGACAAUCAGCAGUUCCAGUGGGCUAACAACAUGCGCGAGAGUUAUUAGUGUUGGAUUAGUAUCUAAGUCCAUAACUAUUUUGGUAUGUACUUGACCCGAUGGUGCAUGGUCCUUUUGGGUUGCCUUCACCAAAGCAACUUGAUUGGAGAAAUAAAUAGAGAGAAAGGUUAUUAUGAUUUAUUAAUAUGUUAUAAGAAUAAUAUAUUAAAGGAGAAAUCAUAUUUGUUUGAUUAAUAUUGGUCAAUAAUUAAUUAAGAAUUAAUUUUGUGAUCAAGUGUAAUUAAUUAAACUAGAGGGGCUGAAUUGUAAUUAUGUGAUAGUUACAAAAUAAGGUAAGGAUUAUCUUAUAUAUAUGGUGAACGAAUUUGAGGUGUAAAUCCCUUAGAAUUCGAGUAUGAUAAGGAUUCAAGGAUUAUCUUAUUGGUUGCUUGGUGGAUAAGCAACUAGAUAAGGAUAAUGACUGAAACCCUAUCUCUACACCUAUAUAAACACCCCUAGGGUCAUGAAUUCGUGUAUCCCUUCCCAAGAAGUCUUAGAGACGAAUUCUAACCUCCCUCCUCUCUCUUUAUACCUUCUCCACUUGCUUAUGGUGUUUGUAAGCCAUUAGAGGAGUGACACUUGUGACUCUCAGCUUUCCAAGGUCAAUUCAAGGAGGAAUUGGAUUGUUAUUGCUAUAUAACAAUCAAGGUAUGUUCUUAAACCUAAUUACAUGUGAAUUCUGAUUUCCAUAUGCUAGAAUUAGGGUUUAUAGUCUUGGAUUCAAAGCAUGUACAAUAGAGAAACCUAGAUCCAAGCAUUAGGGUUUGUAUGAGCACAUAGGAUGUCUUAUGACCAAAACCCAUCAGUGGUAUCAGAGCCUAGAUUGGUUUCUAUUGUAUUGAUGCUUGAUAUAUCUAAAAAAUUCGUUUUUUGGUGUUUUGGAGGCUGGACUCGCCGAGUCCAUAGCUGAACUCGCCGAGUCCAAGGUGACUCGACGAGUCCAGGCUUGACUCGACGAGUCAACUCGUCAGAUAGAGCUUAUCUCGGGAUUUCUUGCUGUUUUUGCAUUGGGAUAGUUACCUUAUCAUGUUAGAUCAAUAUUAAUCCGAUUAUAUGAUAUAUUUGACUAUAUUUUUGAUCUAAUUGAAGAUAUUUAUCAAUUAAUAAGAUAAUUGUUUCCUUAUAAGAUAAUUGAUUAAUUAUUUUAAGUAAAUUGAUAAAUUGUUUUGCAAGAAAUCAUCAAAUAUGGAUAAUUAUGUGAUUAAAUGUUAAUUUGAAUUAUUUGUUAUUUGAUCCUUGUUGUUGUGAAAAGUUUCAUAUUUGGCCCUUUAGGUUUUAUAGUUUAAAUUUGAACCCCAAAAGUUUUGUUGUUUUGAAAUUUAAAUAGUUGAAACCCUAAUGUUUUGAAAAAGGUUUCAAAACUUGCCCUCAAGUUUUGGAAUUUAAAUUUUGAUUAAAUAGUUUAAUUUUGAUGCAUAUUUAAAUUCUAAACCCUAAUGUGUUGAAAUGUUUCAAAACUUGCCCUCAAGUUUUGGAAUUUAAAAGUUGAUUAAAAGUUUAAUUAGGAAUGUUAAAUUCUAAAACUCUAGUAUAGUUUUGAAAAAGUUCAAAUCACACCCUUAUGGUUUUAUUAAUUAAUUAAGGUGUAUAAUUAAAAGAGGUUUAAUAAAUCCAUAAAAGUUUAGGUUUACAAUUUAAUUGAAUUAAAAGUAUAAUUGUUAAAUUAGACCACCUAGUAUUUUGAAAGUAUAAAAUACACCCUAUACUAUAUAUAACAUUAAAAGUCUAACAUUAUAUAUAUGUAUGAGUAAAAGUCAGUCUUACCGUUAGUAGGCCUCAUUCACGAAGCUGGUCUAUAAGGGGUGUUUAAGGAAAUUGCCUAUAAAAUGGCGAUUGAAUGGGUAUCCACUCUUACCCACCGCACUCUUGACUAGUGGAGGGUCGUUAGCCGAACGGGUAGGAUAGGACGAAACCUUCCAUUAUAAGUAUAAUGAAUUAUUAAAGUAACUAAAUGUUUUCAUAAAAUUCCCAAUCUUAGUUACUUAGGCAAAAGUGAAUUGAUGCAAUUCCAUGAAAUUACACUUUGUGCCCUUGCGAAGACGUUAGUGGAGCGUGUGUGGUUUACCGGCACACUAAAUGGUUCUAAGCAAAGGUAGCAAAGGGUGACUCAAUGUUUGUCAUAGUUCGGUGGAGCGUGUGUGGUUUACCGGCACAUCGAAUAGGUGACUGUAACAUGUGAGGGCACCAUGUAAGUUUGCAUGGUUAUUCACACCCGCUUUGUGAUCCUCGGCAUCCCAGUCACAAACAAGAGGGGCAUAUCGAGAUUUAAACAUGCCAUUGAAAGUUCAAUGAAUCUCAAAGGAUCUAGGAGUUUUCAUAGAUUUAAAACUUAAAUUUCUUUUUCGUUUUUCAUGGUGGAAAUUAGUGAAUCGUCAUUCACUUACCUUCAAAUAUUCUGCAAUUAGGGUUACGGCAUCCCUCUCCCGAGUUGUAGAAUAUUGUGUUGGGUCCUAGCCUUAGUAUCUCAUUUGGGUGAUUUACUAAGGACUCAAUCAAUCAACUAACUUGAAUUCGUUUUCUCCCGUUUUGUAGAUGUCAAAGUUCGACAACUAUGGUCUUCCCAAAUCCCGUGGAACAAGCAUUCCACAUGAAGAUGAUAUUCCACGAUUCGAUCGAGGAACAAGAAAUCAUGCUUCACUUCCUCCUCCUCCUCCAAUUAUUCUCCCUAACCCACAAGUUCAAAGGCUUGAAAAGUUCAAGAUCACUCAAGCCCUUUUGGCAAGUAAACAUAAAGAAGGAAAGUCGGUGUGUGCACACGUCCUAGGGAUGAAGUCACACAUUGAUAGGUUAAGAAUGUUGGGAUCCGUUGUCUGUGAGGAAAUGGCUGUUGAUUGGGUUCUUCAGUCACUUCCUAACUCAUAUAGUGAGUUCGUAAGAGAGUACUAUAUGAUGAACCGCGACGUGACCCUUAUAGAUCUCACCUAUAUGCUUAUUGCUGCUGAAUCAGCAAUGGUUUGGCGCAAUAGAAAAGCAAAGUUGAUUGGUGAAUCUGCCUUCAAGACCUCUAUGGAUAUAGACAAUGGCAACGAAAGACAUGCUAUGAUCGAAAAGUUUGAUCAUAAGAGAAAGGCAAUGUCUGAAGUAGUUCCAUGUCAUGUUCCAAAAGAGUCAAUUUGCUUUUAUUGCCAAGAGAAAGGGCAUUGGAGACGAAGCUGCCCCAUUUACCUAAGAGAUCUAAGAGAUGGGAGAGUCGAAACGUAUGGCUCUAAUAUAGGUAAAAUCCAUUAACUAACUCUUUUAAGCUUCUAUUCUAGAUUCUUAAUACAUAAUGUGAUAAGAUUACAAUUGAUGUUUUGUAGGAUCGAAGAAAAGAAAGGAAGCUUAAGGGAAGAAGUGAGCAGAAUCUAACCGUGAAGGAAUGGAUUUCGAUCGCAUUUCUCGAAGAUUAGAUUCUUGAGCUACUACUUAGAGUUAGAAUUAGAUUGCUAAGAAAGAUGUAUUAGCAUAGUUUUUCAAUGAAUUGCAUUGUAAGGACAAAUUUUUUCCGCAAUAAAAUAAAUUUUGAUUUUAUAUUAUUUAUUUAUCCUUGCAAUGGCGUAUAUGAAAAAUUGAUGUUUGAAUGUUUCUAUUAUUAGCAAUAAUGGAUUUGGUUCUUAUUAUGUUAUUUAUGGAAAGUCGAGAGUUUACCAAAUAGGGAGAGUUUCUCAUCGCCCAAGUUUCAAUUGGACAGAAACUUGGAAUCAUGCAACUUGGUUGCACGAUGAAUGAGAAAUUUCAUAUUUGGAAAUUAGACUAAUUCAUUGACAAAGUGUCAAGUGAAGGACUAGGAGAUCGAGUACACAAAGUUGCGUGUUGAUCAAGUCCACCAUAAGAGUAACAAAGAUAUUCGUCAUGAUUUACUAAAGGUUUAGUAAAUAUGAUUAUACUUACAAGAUUAAGUGUAAUUCUGAAUUGAUUGAAAAAGUUUAAAUCAAUAGCAGAACGAAUAAGAAGAAUCAAGUAGGCAGAAAGAUAAAAGUUUCUCCAUUCUAAGAAGAAGGGAGAGUAGCUUUUAUGCUUUAUGAUAGGUCUUAAUGAUUAAGAACCAUAUCUCAAUUGAUCCUCUAAGUGAGUCUUAGUACAAUUGUAUGUCUAAGAAGAGGAAUCAAGAAUUGAAGAAAUGGUUAAAUCAAGAAGUCAAUCAUACUUCGUUCCAAAACAAGUCUUAGAGUUAAGAUUGUGACAUUGAGUGAAAAGUAUUAAGAAGGUUUAUAACAUUCAUCAAAUGUGGAAAGUUGUGAUGUCUUGGAUA